rnacentral:lncRNA from 1 species
CCCCUCUUUUGCCCUCACUGAAGCCAAACCACAGAAGACUUUGAGGAAUGAGAGACAAAUGAGGUAGAGCUCACCUGUGCUCACCAGCUCCGUCAGGGUGGUCAGCCGACCCUUUUCCCUGGGAACCCCACUUCUCUCUCUGGCUGGCUUGGUUGUCGGGGGUGAGAUGCCAUAUUGAUUACAGGGCAGCAAAGAACCAGUACCAGGAAUUUACUUGACCAUUCCCCUUAUUUUUCAUCUAGAGGAAUCUCGGAUUCAGCCCUUUCAUUGCUAAGACACCUUUUCACUGAGGUUCUUACCAGCUCAGCCAAAUCUCCACUCUGCUAUAGCAGAAGCAAUAAUGUUUGCUUUAAAAAGAUUUCUUGACCUAUGCCUUUUCUUAGAAAGUUUGAUAGAUUAGUUAGAACUUCAGAUCAUCAGAUCAGUCUCAAAUGCGUUUCUUGGAAUUUUAUAUUUGACAAUAUUUAUACUAUACCAAACUCAUUUGCAGUUCUUAGGUUUGUUGGUUAAAACAUUUUUUUAAAGCAGUAAGUUUAUAGAAAAUGUUUUCAUUUAAUGGAAGGCUGGGGAAUGUCCAGCAUCAACCCCUAUGGCAUGCAUUCCCAGUGGCCUUCUCAUCUGGGCCUGGAACCUUUGGUUCAGGGCUUAGGGGAGAACAGGCCACAUGGCAACAGCCACACAGUCAUUGCCUUCAACACAGAGCCACGUGUCCCCAAACAGCAAUAGUCAUGCCCUUGUCCAGGCUGGGAUCUAAUUGAUACAAUAGGUCGUUGACUCCCUCCUAGUAGAGCUAUCUAGGUUUGUCUGGAAAGUUUCCGACCCUGGCUUAUAGGCACCACACCUCAUGUACUCCUCAUGGCUUGGAUCUCUGUAUUCAGCCUUUGUUCAGUCCAAUAAACUUUGAGUAGAUGAUCUCAAAAAAAAAAAAA